UGCUCAGCAACUCCUAUCCCUACCUCCACGCGGUACCGGCCGGAAACUAUGAGCAACCUUAGGGAAGAUCGGGUAACCAACCCCGGUGGGAAUUUCGGUCGUAGGCUGACAGGGAAGG
rnacentral:ribozyme from 1 species